GGGAAGGGGUGACUAGUGACAGAGGGAGGGGUGACUAGGGACAGAGUGAGGGAGGUGGUGACUAGUGACAGUCACCACCUCCCUCACUCUGUCACUAGUCACCACCUCCCUCACUCUGUCACUAGUCACCACCUCCCUCACUCUGUCACCAGUCAUCCCCUCACUCUGUCACUAGUCACGCCUUCCUUCCC